UCAGGACGAACGCUGGCGGCGUGCUUAAUACAUGCAAGUCGAGCGAGGUUACUGUGACAGAUCCCUUCGGGGUGAAGUUGCUUUAACCUAGCGGCGGACGGGUGAGUAACGCGUGGGUAACCUACCCUAAAGUUCGGGAUAACAGCGGGAAACCGCUGCUAAUACCGGAUGCCUUUACCGUGUGGCAUCACAGGGUAAAGAAAGGUAACGCUUUAGGAUGGGCCCGCGUCCCAUUAGCUAGUUGGUGAGGUAACAGCUCACCAAGGCGACGAUGGGUAGCCGGCCUGAGAGGGUGGACGGCCACACUGGGACUGAGACACGGCCCAGACUCCUACGGGAGGCAGCAGUAGGGAAUAUUGCGCAAUGGACGGAAGUCUGACGCAGCGACGCCGCGUGAGCGAUGAAGGCCUUCGGGUUGUAAAGCUCUGUCCUUGGGGAAGAAGGUCUUCGGACUUGACGGUACCCAAGAAGAAAGCCCCGGCUAACUACGUGCCAGCAGCCGCGGUAAUACGUAGGGGGCGAGCGUUGUCCGGAAUUACUGGGCGUAAAGGGUGCGUAGGNNNCCCUUUAAGUCAGNUGUGAAANNCCGCNNNUUAACNGCGGAAUUGCAUUUGAAACNNNNNNNGCUUGAGUGUNNNNGAGGGUNANNGNNAUUCCCAGUGUAGCNNUGAANUNNNNNNANNNNNNGAGGAACACCAGUNNNNNNGNNNACUGCCUGNACGANNNNNGACNNNGAGGCNCGAAAGCUAGGGGAGCAAACAGGAUUAGAUNNNNNNGUAGUCCUAGCCGUAAACGAUGGGUACUAGGUGUAGGUGGUUUCGAUACCANNNGUGCCGUAGUUAACGCAUUAAGUACCCCGCCUGGGGAGUACGUGCGCAAGCAUGAAACUCAAAGGAAUUGACGGGGGCCCGCACAAGCGGUGGAGCAUGUGGUUUAAUUCGAAGCAACGCGAAGAACCUUACCAGGUCUUGACAUCCCUGGACAGCUGUGGAAACACAGUUUCCCUUCGGGGCCAGGAGACAGGUGGUGCAUGGUUGUCGUCAGCUCGUGUCGUGAGAUGUUGGGUUAAGUCCCGCAACGAGCGCAACCCUUGCCUUUAGUUGCCAUCAUUAAGUUGGGGACUCUAAAGGGACUGCCGGUGACAAAUCGGAGGAAGGUGGGGAUGACGUCAAAUCAUCAUGCCCCUUAUGAUCUGGGCUACACACGUGCUACAAUGGGUGGUACAGAGGGAAGCGAAGCCGUGAGGCGGAGCGAAUCCCAGAAAGCCACUCUCAGUUCGGAUUGCAGGCUGCAACUCGCCUGCAUGAAGUCGGAAUCGCUAGUAAUCGCAGGUCAGCAUACUGCGGUGAAUACGUUCCCGGGCCUUGUACACACCGCCCGUCACACCACGAAAGUUCGCAACACCCGAAGCCGGUGGCCUAACCGCAAGGAGGGAGCCGUCGAAGGUGGGGCGGAUGAU
rnacentral:rRNA from 1 species